GACGAACGCUGGCGGCGUGCUUAACACAUGCAAGUCGAGGGUAGCAAUACACUGGCGCAAGGGUGCGUAACGCGUAGAUUAUCUGCCCCAUACACUAACAUAACGCUUGGAAACGGGUGCUAAUAUUAGAUGAGGUGCUUCGGCAUCAAAGUUUCGACGGUAUGGGAUGAGUCUGCGUCUGAUUAGCUAGUUGGUAGUGUAAUGGACUACCAAGGCGACGAUCAGUAGCUGGUCUGAGAGGACGAUCAGCCACACUGGAACUGAGACGCGGUCCAGACUCCUACGGGAGGCAGCAGUGAGGAAUUUUGCGCAAUGGACGAAAGUCUGACGCAGCGACGCCGCGUGUGGGAUGAAGGGGCUACGCCCUGUAAACCACUGUUAGAUGUGAAAAAAAGAUGGCUUUGCCGUCCGGGAUUGUAACAUCAAAGAAAGGACCGGCUAACUACGUGCCAGCAGCCGCGGUAAU
rnacentral:rRNA from 1 species